UUCUGUCUGAGCGAUAAUUACUUCCUUGUGUCGCUCGCAGUAAUGUGGAUGCAUGUUCAGGUGCCUCUGUUGCUCCAGUGCAGCUCUGUGUGAGUCAGAGUUACACAAAAGUGUGUUUGGACUGACAUGAGUUUGAGUUUUGAUUACAAACACACAAUGACUGUGUCAAAGAAAUAAUUGUACAUUAGUUGUCAUUAUCGCUUCUUUGACGUUACGUGUUUUGAGCAAAGUGACUCCAGCAGCCUCUCAUGUGAAAGUAUCUUCCAGUAGGAUCAGGACUGCUCUUUGACUGAUCCGAUUUGCACAAGUUAACAACAGUCUAUUACUCCUAUCCUUAUCUUGUCCUCUACUACAGUCUUCAGUCUGCAGCUGCUACAUUGUUUGGGGCAAUAAUCCCUUUUUCUUGUUCCAUCUAACUCCGUAGAAGGAAUGCAUCUCAAGAAAUAUACUCUGGCUGUGUUGUUCAUGUGAUCGCCUUAUUAUAUAUAUAAUGACAGCAAAUUCUGCACUUUGAGUCAAUUUCUGUUAAUUUAAAUUUGCGAUAUAAAUAAAAGUAAAAGUAGCAAUAGCAAGAUUUAAAUAUAGUCAUGUCCAAGUACAGGUCUCACAUUCCAAACCUUACUUGAGUAAAAGUAUGGUAAUAUUCACAAAAUGUACUUAAAGUAUACAAGUGUUCAUGACGCACCAAAAUUAGUUCAGUCAGUGUUGUAUUAUAGAAUAGAAUUCCUUUAUUGUCAUUUUACCAGUACAACGAACUUAAAAAAGUGCAAUCCUUAAGGUGCAUAGGUACCAAACAUUGUUAAAAAAAUAAAAAAUAAAAAACUAACGUAAGGAACAUACCACAAGUCAUAUCUCAUAACACUGUGUUGCUGUUAUUGCACAAUUCCCUAUCAGUGUGUGUGUGUGUGUGUGUGUGUGUGUGUGUGUGUGUGUGUGUGUGUGUGUGUGUGUGUGUGUGUGUGUGUGUGUGUGUGUGUGUGUGUGUGUGUGUGUGUGUGUGUGUCUAGUUUUUGUUCGUUGAGUGCAAUUACGGCCCUGGUGUAAAAACUGUUUUUCAUCCAGCUUGUUCUUGCUUUUUUCUUACUAUUAGAGUAUUGUUACUGAUGCAAUAACAUGCAAAUAACUGAGGUAGAGCUGAUUUUCUAUACUGCCAGGUGGCUUAAUUUCCUGUAUAAUAAUUCAUUGCAUGUCAUUCAUUAUAUCCUGAUUGCUUUUUAAUUGCCUGAUAUGUUGUAAAGUAACAAGAAGCUACCACUAUCAGAUACUUUUAAUGGAAUCAAAAGUACAUUUUGCUUUAAAAUAUCAUGAAAUCAAAGCCUAAAAUAAAAAUACUCCAUUUAAGUGCAGUCCUUGAGUAAAUUUUCCUAAUUAUUUUUCACCACUACUGACUUCAAGUUGUUGUUGCAUUGAUAUAUAGUUGAAACUGGCUCCAAACGCUCAUCUUUGUUUCCAAAAAUCUAAUAUACUGUAACAAAAUUUGGAGAGAUUAGCCUCAAAUGUUGAACCAAGCAAUGUAAAAAUGUAGGCUGCAACACACCUAAUGGUCGAAACUACACUUUAUGAUUAAAAUUGUGCUUGUUUAUCAGGGACACCACUUAAGUGUAUUAUCAAGGCCACUUAAGAGACCUUUAUCAAGAAUAUUUCAGGUUCAAUAAUCAUUAAUUAAUCAAAUCUGCUUCUUUUUUAUCAGCCUCAUGAAAGUCGUAAAGUCUGAUUUCAUUUCAUUUCAAAACAAAGAAAUGCACGAUAGAACCGAUGGCGAUUAUACACACUAUAUACACACAUUUAUUAACUAAUACUAUGAACAAACAAUAAACAACAACAGACAGUGAAUAAGUGAAUGAAUAAAUGCAGAUAAACUCACUGGAAGCAGUUGGUAGAAAAGGUGAUGAAUGUGGAAUUGCUUUGAAAUCGGAAAACCAAUUGCAAUUUGUAAAUUUGCCCUUUUAGCAGAAAGAACAUGAUGCUUGCGUAGCCUUUGUCGUAGUGAGAGGGAGGCCAUGUAGUGGUGAAAUUCCAAUAAUCUGAAAAUACCUCAUAAAGAAUCAGUGUUCAAUAAUAAAUAAUCCAUAAUCAGUACUCAAUAAUCAUAUUAAUAGUAGUGGGUAGCCUCUGAGCAUUAAGCACACAAACAUCUGUGUACACAGACUCAAGGUCACUCUGAAACUGUGUUGUUUUGCUUAUCUAAGUGUUUAGCAGGUGUUGUACUCAUUAUAGUGCCUGGCACUGCCUGAAUCGGUCUAAACAUGCUCUUGUUUUUGUCAUGAUGGAAAGAUUAUGACCGAGAGAUGACCUGGGGAAAACCUGAUGUCCCUGAGAAAAGAUGAUGUACUGCUGAAAAGAUGAACGAAGUGGUUUCCUGAGGCUGGGCGUGGAGCCAGGAGGGGAGCAGCUAACCUCUCCUGGUGAAACUGCCCAUCCCUCAUAAUUUUUUGAAAAGUACCGAGAAGCCCAGACACCAUUAGAAUCGAAACUAGUGAUAUAAUGGUGUCAAGUGUAGGAGGCCUGCCAUAAAAGAAGGAUGGGCCUGGAGCGUGGAAACCACCAGGACCAAACAGUAUAAAAGCCAGUGCAUCAGGAGGGGUCUUCAGACAUGCUCUGGGGCAUCUCUCAGUGUGUUUGACCUGUACUUUGAGGAAUAAAUGCAUCUUCUUUGAAUCUGAA